ACGCUUUGGGAAACUGGAGCGUUAGUGGCAAACGGGUGCGUAACACGUGGGUGACCCUCCCCAGAGUGGGGAACAACGAACCGAAAGGUUCGCUAAUACCGCAUAGGCUCGGCCUUUCAUUGGGCAGAGUAAAGUCGCAAGACGCUUUGGGAGGGGCCCGCGGCCCAUCAGGUAGUUGGUGAGGUAAUGGCCCACCAAGCCGAUGACGGGUAGCUGAUCUGAGAGGAUGACCAGCCACACUGGCACUGAGACACCUGCCAGAGUCCUACGGGAGGCAGCAGUGGAUCUUGCGAAAA
rnacentral:misc_RNA from 1 species